CAUGCUCACUCGGGCACAGAUGAUGUCAUUGCUCAUGUGUGGGAUUGUGGGCUGAGACAGACUACCGUUCCUCCCCAAAAGCAACCCCAAAGUCCAAGAUUUUGCUCCUGGCAGCUCCCCCAAGCCCAGGGCCCUUUGCUUUUGUUUCUUGGACCAUGUGUCAGCAGGGAGGCCACUGAGCACUGUGACGAAGCUGCUGCUGGAGCUGAAAUUCUGCCUAAUCUGUGACUCACUGCCUGGUCACCCCAGACCGUGCUGCCAGUCUCAGCUGGCUUCGGGGCUGCCGGUUCUCUCCUCCCACUGCAGCGUGUCAGGGCAGAGCCAUCCCGUGAGGAGCCUGGGGACAGCUGACCAAACAGAGAGCAUCGGUAGACAGCUGAGCUGCCACGGUCAUGGUCGUGGUCAUGAGCCCACAGCCCAGGACCACUUGCCAUUGGUGAUGCUUGGAAGGUGGAGGAGUGUCACGAUCAGGAUGCUGGACUGGAGGCUGAGUGCUACCAGGUACCAGCUGGUGGCUGAACUUCCCCUGCCUCCCAGGUCUGAGCAGCAGAUUGAAGUGCAAAGCCCAUUUUUUGGGAGAGGUUGGACCGGUUGUAUUCAUGAAUCAAGCCAUCCCUCUGUCUGUCUCUGAACCUGUUCUUUCACUUGUUUGGGGGAAUUAAGGAAUAACUGGGAGAUGAAACAGGAAACUUUAUGACACACUUGCUUGAAAAUGACACAGGACUCAGCCCCUCUGCAUCACCUCUACCUGCUGCCCACAGCCGAAUGCGGGGGAAGGGCUGGCCCUGGGACCUGAUUCCAACCGCCGUGGACUCGACGUUCAGUGUGAUGUGUCUGCCAUACUGUGGUCAUGGGCUAGUCUGGUCGGUUUCCUAUGUAGCUGGCCACUCUCAGUGUAUCUUUGCCCCUUUUCCUUCAUUAAAAGCAUAACUAAAGAAAAA
ensembl:lncRNA